rnacentral:lncRNA from 1 species
GUCUGGCUUCUUGAAGAAGCAAGCAAUGAAGGUAACUCAUGCCCUCACAUUUAGAUUUGACCUGCAGGGUGUUCUGACUGACCUAAAGUUAGAUUUGAACUAAUCUAGAGCCAUGAAAUACAUUCUUCUGCCCUUUGACUAUCAAAGAUGAAAUCUAAUAUCAUCAGAGCUUAAUUUCUUUAUCAUUUCAGCCUAUUCUUUUCCUGGCAUGAACUACAGCUGACCUAAUAUUUUGCUGCAUGUUGGGGUACAACUUAAACAUGCAUGAUGAUGACAAGCAGUCAAGAGGCAACAGUAGUGAAAGGACUAUAUCUGAAUGAAAACAGGGUUACACUAUCAAAAUGUAACAUGGCUUUAUCUGUGAACCAACAUUCAGGGCAUAUUAUAACAACUGUGUCAGAAAAUGGAAGGAACAGUUGGCAGCUAAUUUCAGCAGAAAUGGAGAUGAGAAUGUCCAGUACUGAUUUGUGA